UACGUAGGGUGCGAGCGUUGUCCGGAUUUAUUGGGCGUAAAGGGCUCGUAGGUGGUUGAUCGCGUCGGAAGUGUAAUCUUGGGGCUUAACCCUGAGCGUGCUUUCGAUACGGGUUGACUUGAGGAAGGUAGGGGAGAAUGGAAUUCCUGGUGGAGCGGUGGAAUGCGCAGAUAUCAGGAGGAACACCAGUGGCGAAGGCGGUUCUCUGGGCCUUUCCUGACGCUGAGGAGCGAAAGCGUGGGGAGCGAAC
rnacentral:rRNA from 2 species